AUUGAACGCUGGCGGCAUGCCUUACACAUGCAAGUCGAACGGUAACGGGCCUUCGGGUGCCGACGAGUGGCGCACGGGUGAGUAAUACAUCGGAACGUGCCCGAUCGUGGGGGAUAACGAGGCGAAAGCUUUGCUAAUACCGCAUACGAUCUACGGAUGAAAGCAGGGGACCGCAAGGCCUUGCGCGGACGGAGCGGCCGAUGGCAGAUUAGGUAGUUGGUGGGAUAAAAGCUUACCAAGCCGACGAUCUGUAGCUGGGCUGAGAGGAUGAUCAGCCACACUGGGACUGAGACACGGCCCAGACUCCUACGGGAGGCAGCAGUGGGGAAUUUUGGACAAUGGGCGCAAGCCUGAUCCAGCCAUGCCGCGUGCAGGAUGAAGGCCUUCGGGUUGUAAACUGCUUUUGUACGGAACGAAAAGCCUUCUUUUAAUACAGGAGGGUCAUGACGGUACCGUAAGAAUAAGCACCGGCUAACUACGUG
rnacentral:rRNA from 1 species